AUAAAAAAAGAGACUCUCAUACCCUUGACAACUCUCUGUAUAUUUUUUAACCUUUCACCCUCUCCCUCCUCCAUUCAUCUUACUUUCUAUCCCUUAACCACUUUCCAAGGCCAUAAGUUAUCAGAGGUUAUAAGGACUAUCAGAGCUGAUCUGCUUCUCUCUCUCUCCAUUAUUAGCCGGAAGCCACUUGUCCUGAAAAUAAGCCCAAUACCAAGUGCUAAAAGAAAUGAACUAUGGGAAUUAAGAUGUAAUGUUUCAACUGAAGCAAGAGAAUGUGUGCCAAUGCUAAUAUAUCCUGGGACCACCUCAUCCACUAAUUGUGCUUAUAAGGCAUACUCAUAUAAAGCGUGUAUAUGCCCAGGAGACAGGGCAAGAAACUUCUACUGGGACAUAUGCAGCCAAAAUGAUGUAUAUGUGUAUUGUGAAGCUACUACUAUUUUAGAAAAUGGCAUCUGUGAAAAUGGUUACGUGCCGGUAACUCGCUACGUUGUUAAAGAAAACCAAACAUACAUUGCAAAUGACUGAAUUGGACUCCUGUUCUUCCCAUCCCUGGCUGGUCAUGCUACAGAGACAUGCCUUGGGAAUGAACAUCUGAAGCCACUGAGGUCUAUGAGAUAAACAUCCUAUAAAGAAAGCUUCUUGCUUGUCUGGGUUAUUCAAAUCUUGUUUUGUUUUGAUUGCAUUCCUCCCCCACAAUACCUACAAUUAAUGCCUGUAUACCUUAUAAUAAAGUUGAGUGAUCUCAAUAAUAUUUUUUCUUUCUCAUAACAAACACUAUGGAUUUCUAGGAUGUCGUUUUUUUUAAAAAAAUACUUUCAUAGCUAGGUGUGGUAGCCUGUUUCUGUAUUUCCUGCUACUAGGAAGAUCGAGGCUGGUAUAUCUCCUGAGCCCUGGAUUCUGAACUGGGUUAAGUAGAUGGAAUUGGCCCAAGUCAGAAAAAUGGAGCAAAUUAAAGUUCCCGUGAUGAUUGAUAUUAGAAUAAAGCCAAUGUACUUUCAUUUUGGGCAAGAUAGCACAGCUAAUCUAGAAGGGGAGGAGAGGAAAAGGUAAAGGGAGGGAAAGAGAGGGUAAAGGGAGAGGAGGUUAUAGAGAGAGGAGAAGAGGGUAUGGGGAAAAGAAAGGAGGUGAGAGGAGGGGAGAAGAUAUAUAUAUAUACAGAUAUAUACCUGUAUAUAGAUAUAUACAGGUCCUUGAAUCAAUCCAUCAGCUUAAUAACUAGUAAGUACCUGCUUUGAUAUGGCAGAAAAGCACCCUUACAUCAUUUAUCUCAAGGGAUUGUCCACAUAAUAAGCAAAUGAAAAUAACCUAAAGUACUACACUCAACAUUUCCUAGAAUCACUUAGUUUUAACUGAAAUGAUCCUCUCCUCCCAAGAUCCUUUAUACCUAGAUCCCACAAAACACUUUCCCCCAAAAGUCUCCCUUCCUUAUUAGCCACCAUUUGCCUAUUGAAGAAUGCUGUUAAUUUCUUUUAUACUCUCCCAUAUCUUCUGUUUUGCCCUCUUGUCUGCCCUUUUUGUGAUCCUCAAGUGAUUUCUCCUAUAUAAUGCCUUCUUUUUUUUCCAUGAAAAGAACACACUAUUGCUUUCUUCUGGAUUUUCUAGGGAGAGUAGGAAAAAGCUACAAGGUCCACUCCCAAUAUAACCCAGGGCUACACCUCUUUCAGAAUUUAUAACUCUAACAAGAGAUUCCAGUCUGUUAUACAGAUUUAUAUAUCUAGACAUCUGUAUAGACACAAGGAGGUUCUCUCAGGAAAAAGAUUUUCAAUGGAAGCUCAAUCCCAGCUUCCUCCACUUAUCCAAUUACAUGACAAGCACAUGAUACCAAUCUUCUUCCAAGAUAGGAUGAAUAAACCUAAUCUCAAUUCUGUUGGUAUACUAAUUCUUGAACUUCCUGGAACAAUAUCAUGUUUUAACAAGAACACAAAUCAAAUAGUCCUAUUGUUAUAGUUAUUUGAUACUUCAUCAUUCAUUCUCGCUUCCUAUGAGCCAUUUCUACUUAUCAAUAUUAAGUUUGAGCACACCUUCAAGAAAAAAACUUAAUAGGUUCCUAUGAUUGAACUAAUACAGAACUAAUACAGAAAUUCAGUGUUCUCCUCCUCUUACCUCUAUCAACAUGAAUGAUGCUAGAUUUUCCCUAAAAAGCAACAUAUAUAAUUCUUCAAUCACUCUGAGGUGGAGCAAGGUUCAAUUGUGUCUCCUUUGACAUAGCUUUUCAAGUAGCCUCUAACUUUAUUCAUGUGACUUCCAAGCUAACUAAGGGCAUAAAAAGGCCCACCCGUAAGAAACCUUCAUGUUUGGUGGAUGCCCUAAGGCCACUUGAGUAUAAAGCCUUGCCCUAUUGAGCAGACAUAUUUUCAAUAUUCAAGUGACAGAGUGCUACCGUAUCCUUAUUGAAAAAUAUAAUUGUGAUGAUAAGGCUAAGAAAAAUCUCCUUUUGUAAAAGUUCAUUGAACAGAACUCUGACUGAUUGCUUCAUUUCUUCCCAAUAUCAAAUCUGAACUAACAAACAAGGUGCUGAUCUGAAUAAGGUAUAAGUACUUUCCUCAUGCUCUGAGAACAAGUAUUUUUAAGGCAGAUUUUAUUUUAUUUUUAUGAAGAUUCACCUUCUCUCCAUCCCAUGCCAUCCUAAUUUAAACCUAUAAAGAAAAGAAAAACAAAUUCUCCAAUUGCCCACGUCUAGGUUAGUCUUAAUUUGUACUCUAGCCCAUCACCUCUAACAGGAAGUAGAUAAUAUGUUUUCUCAUGAGUCAUUUUAAAUUGUAGUCUGUUUAGCAAGAUAAUUGUAUAAAUAUGUAUACAUAUAUUGGAUUUAACAUAUUUAACAUGUAUUGGAUUACCUGCCAUUAGGGAUGGGGAUGAGGGGAAAGAGGGGAUAAUUUGGAACAGAAGGCUUUGCAAGGAUCA
ensembl:lncRNA